GACGAACGCUGGCGGCGUGCUUAACACAUGCAAGUCGAGCGGGAAACUUCGGUUUCCAGCGGCGGACGGGUGAGUAACACGUGGGCAACCUGCCUCUCAAUGAGGGAUAGCCCUCCGAAAGGAGGAUUAAUACCUCAUAACACAAGAGAAACGCAUGUUUCUCUUGCCAAAGAAUUUCGUUGUGAGAUGGGCCCGCGGCGCAUUAGCUUGUUGGUGAGGUAACGGCUCACCAAGGCUUCGAUGCGUAGCCGACCUGAGAGGGUGAUCGGCCACAUUGGAACUGAGACACGGUCCAGACUCCUACGGGAGGCAGCAGUGGGGAAUAUUGCACAAUGGAGGAAACUUUGAUGCAGCAACGCCGCGUGAGUGAUGAAGGUCUUCGGAUUGUAAAGCUCUGUCUUCUGGGACGAUAAUGACGGUACCAGAGGAGGAAGCCACGGCUAACUACGUGCCAGCAGCCGCCGUAA
rnacentral:rRNA from 1 species